AACCUGCAUGCGACGUCAGUGGCGAGUGGCCGGGUGCCGGGUCUCGCCGUCGGGCCGCUGGAGGUGAUGAGCGUUGUCUGGCGGCUCCUUCCCGCCGCUCUCCGCCUGCACCCUCCGGCCUCCCCCAUCUGCUGCUGCCGGCGGCGGAUUCAGGCCUCGGCAGCCGGGAGCUCGGCCAAUGUCUUCGACCGGGGAAUGAAGAAGCGGCAGAAGAAGUGGGCGGCAGCGGCAGCAGCAGCGGGCGAUGGCGGGCAGUGCGACUACCUGAGGGAGGAGGUUGGAAGCAGAAUUGCAGACCGUGUUUUGGAUAUUGUGAGAACUUUCCCCGUUGCGCUCGACAUUGGAUGUGGCAAAGGCUAUAUAGCAGGAAAUCUAACCAAGGAUACUGUUCAAAAAAUCUUUCAAAUCGAUGUCGCAGAGAAUGUUUUGAAAUGCCCAAUUGAGACUGAAAUUCCCACCUAUCAUAUCCUAGCAGAUGAAGAGUUUCUCCCCUUCCAAGAAAAUACAUUUGAUCUCAUUGUUAGCAGUCUGAGUUUGCAUUGGGUGAAUGACCUCCCAGGAGCCUUCAAGCAGAUUAAUUAUUCCUUGAAACCAGAUGGCGUAUUCAUUGGUGCCAUGAUGGGUGGGGAAACCUUGUAUGAGCUUCGCUGUUCCCUGCAGCUCGCGGAGCUGGAACGCGAAGGAGGUUUUGCGCCUCAUGUAUCACCGUUCACUGCCGUGACCGACCUCGGAAACCUCUUGCAACAAGCAGGAUUUAACAUGCUAACUGUGGACAUUGAUGAAAUCCAGGUCAACUAUCCAGGGAUCUUUGAAGUAAUGGAGGACUUGCAAGUUUUGCAUCUCUAAAUCUGAAGGUAUGGGAGAGAGCAACUGUGCUUGGUCCAGGAAGUCCAUGUUGCACAGGGAUACCAUGCUUGCAGCUGCAGCCAUCUACAAAGAGAUGUAUGGCAACCAGGACGGUUCUGUGCCAGCAACGUAUCAGGUUCUGUAUAUGAUCGGUUGGAAACCCCAUGAAUCACAGGCUCAGCCAGCAAAGAGAGGUUCGGCUUCAGUAUCAAUAGGCGACAUAGGAAACCUGUCUGAACCGAUGGUGAAAAAGGAUAAAGAGUUUUAAAAUUGUCAUGGAGAUUACAUCCAACCGUCCAGAAAAUUUGCCGGUCAGGCAACAUCUCUCCGAUAAUCCAGAACGCUCGUCGUUUUACUGUAGAAUAUUAAUUGUGUGUGUAAAUAUAAACAGUAAAAGAUUAUCAUUUUCAAA